UACGGAGGGUGCGAGCGUUAAUCGGAAUUACUGGGCGUAAAGAGCGUGUAGGUGGUUUAGCAAGUUGGAAGUGAAAGCCCAGGGCUUAACCCUGGAACUGCUUUCAAAACUGCUAAACUAGAGAAUGGUAGGGGAUAGUGGAAUUCCUAGUGUAGAGGUGAAAUUCGUAGAUAUUAGGAGGAACACCAGAGGCGAAAGCGACUAUCUGGACCAUUUCUGACACUAAGACGCGAAAGCGUGGGUAGCAAACAGG
rnacentral:rRNA from 1 species